rnacentral:lncRNA from 1 species
GGGCCCAGGGGCAUCAGCAGCCGCGGGCUCUCGGCCGCCGCCUGGGAACUCAGGGAUCUUCCUCUUACUUGACUGGGGAAUCCAAUCAGGAGCAGUGAAAGAUAUGCAAAUACCUUGAUGAUUUGCUCUUAUAAGGACUCAUCACUUCUCAAAAAACUUCCAAAUACACCUAAAAUGAGUUAUUCUUAAGAAGGAGAAUGAGGAUCCAACCCUUUAACUGAGAUCAAGAUCUAUUCCUGAGCAUCAAUGAGAGAAGACUGGACCAUGUGGGAACAGCUUAGAGUGAAGCCAACUCCCCAGCUUAGGAGACCAAGUGAGGAAUGCAACACUAGGAUUCUUGACCAGAUUUCUACUAAAGCAAAGACUUAAGAAUGCACAGAAUACUAACAACUAUUGGCCAUUUUAUUCUGAAAUAUUUGUCCCAGGAUUUCACUUAAUUUGCUGAAGAUAAUGAGGUAAAUGGCUAGCCCAAAUUUUGCCUAAAUCUAACAUAAUGUAGAUACUUCCCUUAAAAUCAUAGAAUGUAUAUAGGCAAAAGGAAAACUCAAAUAACAGCUAAGGAAAACUACUGAUCAGCUGGGACAAUAUGUUUGUUGGAGUAAAAACCAGUUACUCAUUCACACGCAUACGUA